GAGACAAUCUUGCUUCACCCCGAGGGCGGCGGACGGGUGAGUAAUGCCUAGGAAUCUGCCUGGUAGUGGGGGAUAACGCUCGGAAACGGACGCUAAUACCGCAUACGUCCUACGGGAGAAAGCAGGGGACCUUCGGGCCUUGCGCUAUCAGAUGAGCCUAGGUCGGAUUAGCUAGUUGGUGAGGUAAUGGCUCACCAAGGCGACGAUCCGUAACUGGUCUGAGAGGAUGAUCAGUCACACUGGAACUGAGACACGGUCCAGACUCCUACGGGAGGCAGCAGUGGGGAAUAUUGGACAAUGGGCGAAAGCCUGAUCCAGCCAUGCCGCGUGUGUGAAGAAGGUCUUCGGAUUGUAAAGCACUUUAAGUUGGGAGGAAGGGCAGUAAAUUAAUACUUUGCUGUUUUGACGUUACCGACAGAAUAAGCACCGGCUAACUCUGUGCCAGCAGCCGCGGUAAUACAGAGGGGUGCAAGCGUUAAUCGGAAUUACUGGGCGUAAAGCGCGCGUAGGUGGUUCGUUAAGUU
rnacentral:rRNA from 1 species